GGAAACUGGAUGUUCUCCUAAAACAGACCUUGGGAGAAAGCGCUUUCACCUCCUCACCACAGACACUCUCGACUGUGGACUCAGGACACUAAGCCAGAAAGGUGACGAUUUCCUUCUUGAACCCGGCCUGCAUCAGCAGCUCAGACCCAGGGCUCCGGGUCCUUUGCUCUAUGUCCAGUGCUCUUUUUGCUCCCUCACACACUUAGCGAUGGCAGUGUUCUUAGUAUACUCAAAGAGCUUUGUAAUGAAUUAGAGCAGCCAUUCCCAACCUUCCUAGUGCUGCGGUCCUUUAAUACAGUUUCUUAAGUUGUGGCGAACCAUCCCCCCCACCCCCAACCAUAACAUUAUUCUUGCUGCUGCUGUUAUGAAUCGUAAUGAAACAUUUGAUCUGCAGUACAUCUGAUAUGUGAUUCCCGAGAAAGGGCCAUCAUAUUCCAAGGGAUCGGGACCCACAGCGUGAGAAGCCCUGAACUAGAGAUCCGCCUAAACUGAGAAACAACCUAGCACCUAUCCCAGCCCAUCAAUGUUGUAUAUGGCAACAGAUUCAAAAGCCCAGACUAAAACAUACUCACCAUCCAUGUUACCAGCUCUCACCAUGGGGCAGCAAUGUGGAUUUAGUAAGCAUAGCCCACGGGCACUCAUUUUGAAGACACUAGGAGAACUUCAAAGCCAGGUUUGUUCUUCUGCCUCUGGUGACAUUUUUAAAAUUUCAGCACUGUUUUUUUUUUUAAUUGAUUCGUCGGUCCUUAUAUUUGCUUUAGGAACCUGACAAGACUGACUAGCCAUCUCUAGCAUUCAGAUAUGUGAGCGAGCAGUCUCCUUCCUGCUGCUGCAGCUGCAAGCUGCUCCUGCCGCCCAUGCCU
rnacentral:lncRNA from 1 species